rnacentral:misc_RNA from 1 species
UACAAGGUGAGAGUUACAGGGAAUAGGUUAGAGUGGAAAUGUGUGUUUGGAGUGAGGUAAUAUUGGGGUCUGCAUACAGAAGUGUUCAAAGUAAACAGGCAAAUUUUUUACCUCCCCAAAUGUCAAUGUUGACAAUGUUCCCUAUAUAAGCAGACUGUAUCUUGUUGUUGACUAAUGAGAAUACUUCGUGUCCAACUUGACUGACCACGACACUAGAUCGUUUCUUAAAGCUUGCUGCUUUUCAAUGUAAUAUAAGAAUACACAAUAAGCAGGAAAUUGAUAUAUCAAAAAAAGUUUCCAGUUCCAUUCAACAUGAUCAAUAAAAGCGGUUGUUUAACUAUUUUUAUAGUUUUUUGCUAUUUGGCCAAUGUUGGAGUAUUUUCCUUUCAUUAUCGCAGUGGUAAACCACUGUUCCCCUGGUGUCUUGAUGUAUCAAGGCCUUACUGCGGAAUUCGCUGUCCCCUCAGUGGAUUUGAUACAGAUGGACGAACUGGAUGUCCGACCUGUCGCUGUCGAAAUCGUUGCGAGGAAGUUACGUGUAACCCUGGAUAUACGUGCCAGGUAAAAGUAGGCUCAAAAAAAUGUCCUUCAGGCUUGUGCAAGACGGAGGUGGCGAAAUGUGUUCCUGCCGGAAGUCUCGGUAAGGUGGAGAAUAUUUGUGAAGCCGGUACACCGAAUGGCUAUUGUUUUGGUAAGGUUUCACCCGUCGUCAACUGUAUUGGCAAUUAUAAAUGCGUCAUUCAUCCGAGCAACAACUACGGGCUUUGUUGCCUGAAACCCUCUGCAACCACGUUCAGCAAUGUCCCAUUAUGUGAACAACCCACAAAAGUGGGACUAUGUCGCGCCAGAAUGCUGCGGUAUUUCUUCAACAGCCAAUCAGGCCAUUGUGAAAUAUUUUCAUAUUCUGGUUGUCAAGGAAACGAGAAUAAUUUCGAAACUAAAGAAGAAUGCGAACAAUCUUGCCUAAACUAUCAGAAAAGUAAGAAGAAUCAACGUAACAAAUCUUUUUGAACACCACUCCAAUUAAAGGACAAUACCACAUUCAACUUGUUACACGCGUAUGUGUGCAUAUGUAAUUAUUGUGAAAUGCGGGCGGAGCCUGGUUUCUGUUUGGCUAAAAUUACCAGAUAUUAUUACGACCGAAUUUCUGGAACAUGUC